CCUCUGUGGCGGUGGCCUGUAAAUUCAUUGCAGCCUCUCUCAAUCGCCCUGUCAAACCCUUCUGUGAUAGCAAUUCUGAAUUGGAUGAUUUUCUGUCCGACUACUGCGAACCUUGCCCAACUAAUGGAGAAUGUCAUGAUGGCAAGUUGGAAUGUGCUCGUGGAUAUAAAAAGCAUGGGAAGUUAUGUUUUGAGGAUGGAGAUAUUAAUGAAGCAGCUAAGAAACUAUCAAAAUUUGCAGAAGUUCGUGCAUGUGAAAAGUAUGCUCAGUCGUUGUGUGGUGAAACUGGAACUUAUUGGGUCCAGGAGGAU